rnacentral:rRNA from 1 species
UACGUAGGUGGCAAGCGUUGUCCGGAUUUACUGGGCGUAAAGGAUGCGUAGGCGGACAUUUAAGUCAGAUGUGAAAUACCCGAGCUUAACUUGGGAGCUGCAUUUGAAACUGGGUGUCUAGAGUGCAGGAGAGGUAAGUGGAAUUCCUAGUGUAGCGGUGAAAUGCGUAGAUAUUGGGAGGAACACCAGUGGCGAAGGCGGCUCACUGGACCGGAACUGACGCUGAGGCGCGAAAGCGUGGGGAGCAAACAGG